ACAGUAGUUAUGGCAGGACAGAACUCUCAUUUGCUGUUGACUGUUGUUAAUCUUCAGUUCAAAAAUGACACAAAUAUAUAAGAGUCAUUCCUGUCUCUGCUGUGGAUCCUCCACUUGGAGGAAGCCUCAGAGGUAGGUCCCUGGAGGGCAGCUCAAGCUGCAGACCUGCUUUGUGUCACUGACACAAGAGUGUGUGCAAAACAAGUACACCCAAAGCUCUGUGCCCCAGCCUGAGCCAAAGCUCUUCUGUGCACACUCUGUGCUCUCCUGUACAACAGAGAGCUGCUUGCAGGGCUGAUGUUCCUUCCCACCACCAUCCCAGGUGCAGCUAGCCCUUUCCUUUCAGGAAUGUAACCCCCUCAAACAAGAAAGGGAGGAAUAGCCUGUCCAGGAGAUACCUAAGAGGAUCAAAUUAAGAGAAAGGAACCUCUCAAGAUUCUGCUGUGCUUUUGACCUAUUAUCUUACCUCUCCUUCAUAGUGGCUUCUACUUUGGGGCAGGGCUUCGUAAUGGCCAUUUGGUGCUCAGGUCUCCAUCCGUGCUGUGGGCAACCUGUACAGUGCCUGUGGAAGCAGGAUUCAUUGGCAUCCCAGCUGGCCCAGGUUUUGUCCUGCUGCCCUUUGCCUGCCAAGGAUGUUCUGUGUGCCCCAAAUAAUGUAUGAGGCUGGGUAGGGAGAAAGGAUCUCCAAAAACAGCAUCCUGAAAUGCUAGACUGCACUUCUUGGCCAGGCAUUUCCACCUUACACAGAAAGUGGGAACUAGAUUCUUAAAUGCCUUGAAUGAGGUGUUUGCAAUUCAUAAAACUUUUUGAGAUUCUUCACCAUUUGCCUUUUCAUGUUUUUGUUCAUUGUGCAGAAAAGAACAUUCAAUUUUUAAGCAGACAAGGAGUGUGUAUGUUGUUAAGUAAAAAAUGUAUUAAAUAUUUCAUCAAGGGGAGUAUUUUAAUAGGCACUUAGGGUUUCAUGUGCUGCUUACUUUUGAUAGCUUAGAUGAAAACUGUUUCUUGAGGGAAAUUGUGAUCUUCUUUUGCCAAGACAAAACGUCUCUCAGCCCAAGUCGUUACAUUUGUUUGUCCAUGGCCCUGAUCAGACAGGUAGUGACACUAGUUCAUAAAUUGAUGUUUAUAUCAGCAGCCUGAUGAAAGACCAGAGCCCACAAGCUUUAAAUAUUGACCAUGACACUAAAUUUCAGAAGCUGUGCUAUUAAUAUAAUGGUCAUUUUCAUAUGCAACUAAUUAAAAGUUGUCAUAGGUAUGUGGAAUGAUACCUGGUCCAAACAAAGGCAGUGCUGAACUUCACAAACAUUUGGGGCUAGAUCCUCAUUGGAGUAAUCUGUGUUUCAUACCCUCACCUCAUUAUGCCUGUAUUUGAUAGAUUUCUAUGGCAGUUAAUGGUGGGCUGUGUUUAGACAUUUGCAUAUGACUUAAUGUUAAGCUAUUUCCAUACAGAGCACGGUGCAUAGGAAUACAGUCUGCUCUUUGGAGCCUGAUAAAAUGCCAGGGAGCUUGUAGGUGUGAUGCAAUGUACCUGUGAUCAGGGAUGGCUGAAUCAGGGAUUGAAAAUGAGCUGUCAGGGAAGAUGUCAUGAAAGCAGGCUCAGCCUACAGUGCCAGCUCAUCUAACCUUUGGCUGCAGGGGGAAAAGGGAGGAACACGUUCUCCCAUGGUUUAGUAACUAAAAUGACUUCAUUAGCACCUGCAAAAAUGAGAAAUAAAAAGCAGUCUGUUUCUGGUAUUCCUUUUCCUCCAUAAAUCAAAAGGUAUUUUUGGAGGAUUACAGUCCUACAGAUUAAGUGGUUUGACAUAAAAUAAUUUUGUUGCAAGUUGUGAAGUGAGAAGUGCAGAAAGGAAAUUUCUGUUCUUUUUCUUUACCAAAGAUUGUUGUCCUCCUUCUUGGCUGUGCAGAGAGGAUAAUUCAGACACAAUGGGCUUGUUUCCCUCCUAAAGGGAGCAGCACAAAUCAAUAAUUCUACCAGGGUCAGGACUCAUCUGCAUGGGAAGUCAGACUGCUGUAAUUAUAACUGUAUUGCUGCAGUUAUGCCGUAUAAUCUCUCGUGUAUCCUCUUAUUAAAGAGUGACUUCUUUUCAGCUUAGUUUAAACUACCUCUUCUGAUGUUAAGAAACAUCAACUGUGUUGAAAAUGGCCAUGGUUCAUAUUGGAAGAGAAAUACUCACAUGGGGAAUUAAGUUGACAGCAUGAUUAAUUAAAUUCACACCUUCUUUAUAGUGGUGUAAUUCCCCUUUUCUGUGGUUAAUGUCAGGUUCAAGGCAGUGUUAAUACUUCUUUCAGCCUUUUUAAACUUCUGUGAGCCUGCUUUUUUUAAACUUUAGAGCCUGCUGCUAAUGAGCUGCCCAAGCAGAAAAGCUGAUUUCUGAUAUUUUAACAGGAAGGUGCUUUCUGCUGCUACAGCCAGGGCUGGGCAAAGCCAGAAGUCAGUGGUGUAAUCCUGUCCAUGAGACCUCAAAGCAGUGAGAGUGUCCCAUAAACAUUAUUGUUCCCACUUUUACAUCCUAGUUUAUUUGUGCCUUAAAAAAUCAGAUAUUGGCUCUACUGAUGCUGAUGGCAGAAAUUGGAGAGGGUUGGAGUGAGACAGGCUUUUGCCCAGAGAGAACAGAGCAUUUCUCCAGGAGUUAUCUUUGUCUGGUUCCCAGCCCUGUGUUCACUGCAUCAAGCAAUGGUUUUUGUUGAAAAGAAUGAGUGAAUUCUGUAACUCUUCCCCCAUGAGAUUGGUUUAGUUUUAUCAUCUCCAACAGGAUGCAACCAUAUGCACAGAAACUGGCUCAAGUCUCUGCACGAAGGUUGAGCUUGAGCUGGUAAUAAGGACUGACUUUUAGCCCCGGGGACAUUUCUCCUUGUUUGUCAUGACCUGCUACACCUCAGAAACCAGAAUGAUCCCCCUUCCAUUUCUCAAUCAGACUGGGAAAAAGAUGCAAUAUUGUCAGAUAUUAUAGUCAGCAGUUUCGGUGCCAGAAGGGCUGUUCUUAAGCAAAUUCUCCUUGGCUUGGCAGCGUGUGCGCUAUGCCAUUGGUGGUGACCUGCCCUGAGGACAGAGUCCACUGCUGGCUGGUGGCAGUGCUUGGAUAUCAACCCUCCUCCCUCUUCCUGGGAGCAAUCCUCCCUGUCAGGAUGGAGCUCCAGCAACAGUCCUUAAUGGAAGGGUUUCUUCCUCAGGAAUUUAAGAGGUGAGGUUCAAAAUUUGCAGUAUUGUGUCGGCUGAUUUUAGCAUGCUAGGUUUGCAUUAUUAUUAUUAUUAUUCAUCUUCCUUUGUUUUUUAAGAUAGAAGACCAGGAGUUGCUUUAAUAAAGGAGAUGUCCUUGGCACCAGGAUAGCCUUUACCACAAGAGACACAGUCCAGCCAUUAUCUUGUCCAGUCAUAAUCCAGUCUAGCCACAGCAAUACUCAGCCAGCUGCCUCAUAAAAUUGCAGUUCAGAGGUCAGAAAGACUCACAAGAAACAAAUUUAGGGUACAAGAAGAGCGAGGUAGAAGAGGAGAAUGAAACUAAGUAAUAAAAUUUUGCAAAAUUCAAGAACAUUUUCUACUUUCUACCUGUCCUUCAGGUGGGGCAGGGAUGCUGUGUUAGCAGCAGGAGGAACCUCUGGAGAGCAAAGUGUCCGAGCUCUGCUCAGUCAGGGUCACCCACAGCAGGUCACAUAGGACUGUGUCCAGUUGGGUUCUGAGGAUCUCCAAGGAUGGAGAUUUCACAGUCUGUUCAUGAUUCAACCACUCUUACAGUCAGAGAAGCCUUUCUAUUUUGUUUAAACCUAUUUUCCUGUGUUUCAGUCUGUGCCUAAUGCCUCUGGUCCUGUCUCUGGGUGCCAUGGAGAAGAGCCUGGCUCUGUGCUCUUUGCUCCCUCCCCUGCAGGUAGUCAAACACAUUAAUAGGAUCCUGCUGAGCCCUCUCUUCCCCAGGCUGACCAGUCCCACCUCUCAGCUUCUGCUCAAGUGAUGGUUGCUCCAGCCCCUUCAUCACCAUUGUGGCCCUCACUGGAUUUGCUGCAGAGUGUCAACAUCCUCCUUGUGCUGGAGAGUUUCCCAGCUUCCAGCUUCUGUAACAGCAGCAUGGGUUUUGCCUACAAUUCCUCUAUGUGCUGUCAAGGAAUAAAAAAGCUAUUGCUCAGCAGAGUAAUUUUUCAAAGGAAUUCGUUCAUUGCUGAGGCCGUUUUAGGCUUAAAUUUAAUUUUGGUGUGGGAGUGAGUCAAAAGUUGUCUGUGUAAUAGCUGCACUGAGAUACACAACCUCACACAGGUACUUCAUGGGUUUGUUGACUGUACAUCUGUACACAAAUAACCAAAGCACUAAUAAUGUCUGCAAAGGAAUGGAGGCCAUUUGGAAACCUAUAUAAUUUUGAUGGAGCAUAAAAUGGAGAAUAUUUUUUCGCUGGCCAUGUGCUUUAUCAGACUAGUCCAUUUUAGUCAUCCUUGCAUAGACUUUGAUCUUUUACAAAUGUACUUGAUAUUCAAAUUAUUUUGCCAGUGGUUAAGUAAAUACAUUUCCUCUUAGACUUUGCUUGUGUUCCCAAGAUAAUCCAUUGUUCAUGCUGCAGGAAAAGUCACCCAGCUCAUACAAUGUGAUUUUUGCUUUCUGUGCAUCUGACUGACAGUUCUUUCAUGCAUUUCAGUUUGGCCAAGCACACACUGCCUGAAAGCCACACAAUUAAUGUCUGUUUCCAGAAGUAUUUAUGAUGCUUUUCUGGUGGAUGCAUUAGCAAAAAGUUAGUUACUAGAAACAUUAGUUGAAAGUGAACAAAGUCCUUAGCAUGUCAUCUAAGCAUCAAAAAAUGGACAUGGGAUAUGAUCCAAGCAACACAUACCUGUCACAGCUGUAAGAGCUCCCUUUUAUUGCAAAACAAAGCAUCAGUGACUGUCGUGAUUCUCACCUGGGCCCUACCAGAGCAGUCCCAGAGCUCUCUCACAUCUGUGCUCUCUUUGAACAGCACCACAGCUCUUGCACCUGGCUCACCAGCUGGCCAAAGUCAGUCUUGUCAGUGGCCAAUUGUAACAACACAGAUAUAGUGAUGCCCACAUUUAUUCCAAUUUUUUUUCCAGUACAAAAGGUAGAUAUCUCUGUAUCCAGUAAGACUAUUAAGAUUUAAAGAUUAACCUUGAGUCAUUUAUGAACAUACAUGUAAAAAUGAGAAGGUUUAUUCCUGAAAAAUUCACUGUUACCAUAUAAAAGAGAGGCACUAUAAUGUAAUCAUCUCCAAAAGAAAAAAGAUAGUGUUUCUCCAUUGUCAGGGUUGGGAAGGAGAAAAGAAUUUCAUUAUAUGGCUUUAUUAUAUGAUUAUGUGAAUCAGCAAUCCAGUGUCUUUGUGGACAAAAGUGUCUCUUCUGUGGAAAUAUGUAAAUGUUUCCUUUUCCACUUUUGUAAUAGAAAGAAGUAUUAGUAUUAUUUAGUAAUAAUUAUUAAUAGUAGUAUUAUUAGUAUUGUUAUUAGUGUUAGUAUUAUUUAGUAAUUAGUAUUAUUUGUAAUAGAAAGAACUGACUUAAAUUUUCCUCUUCUUUUAAACAAGGAUAUGGUUACUCCACAACAAUUAAAAACUUGAUCUUUUCCAAAUAUAUUUUGAAUAUUAAAAGCCUACUAUAUUUUUAUACCAGUCUUCAGAUUUGUGUAUUCACCUAGCACCCAGUACAGAGUGAUGCAGGUGUGUUCUUGGGAGCCUGAGGUGCCACACCAUAGAAAUAAUGAUUGCUCAUCAGAGUGCUAAUGUUGCUUUGCACUGUUUCAAUAAACUGUAUUGAAUUAACAGCUUCUUGGUAGAGCCACUUAUUUUAGAGGUGUUUUUUCUUCUGGUGCAAUUAUAUCACUGUAGUUUAAAUGGCUAAACCCUGUGAGACACAGGCCAGGCUUCAGAGGUGCUGCAAAUUUAAGCAACAUUUGAUGGAUACUUUGAUAAGUCAAAUGAUCAGCAGUUACUGCUACGAAUAAAACAAGAAUAUUUCUUCAUAUUUGGCUUAGUAUAGUAUCUAAACAAAGGUUCAGGAUUAUGUCUCGGGGACUAAAUUCUUAUUUGGAAGGAACCAGGGAAGUUUCUUCUUUGUUUUUCACUCUGCCACAUUUCUACUGUGCUGGUUGGGGAACCUAACAAUGUCCUUGUGUUAUUUUGAACUUUCCAGCUCCCAUUGGCACCACUUUAUAUAGCACAAAGCAAUUUGUUUUCAUUACAAAGGACAUUAAGGUGAUGUAGCUGAAAUUGUUCUGUGCCCUAAAUCUAUAUAAUUUGUUGCUCUUGAGCUAUUCAGCUCAGCUUCCAUUAGCACAGGCUGACAUCAACAAACCAUUUCAUCUUCCAGGCUGUCACAUCAGGAUUUUUUUACAGCACUGUUAAAACUUCAUUUCAGAAACUGACUGUGACAAAGGAGGGGCUGCAUUAGACACAGUGUCAAUAGCAAUCUGAUUUGCUUCUCAGAAACUUCAUUAGCUAAAAAGAAAUUAGAAAGUGACAUGUGUACAGCAUUGGCAGUUCAAAAACACUGAGAAAUGAAGCGCUCUGACAAAGCAGUGCAUGCCCCAGCAGCAGCACCCUUGGCCACUACCAAUUCCUCAGCAGAGCCAUGACCAUUGCUGGUCCCAUUCUCCAAAUGCCAGGACAACAUUUGUUUGCAGACUGGUGUUCUCUAGAGCUGCAUUAAGGGAUAAAAAUUUUGGAGAGGUACCAAGAUCCUGAUGGUCUUCAUAAUAGCCAAUAGAUAACAAAUCUCUUCGAUGAAGAAAACAGUUUUUUGAGCUGUUUAUUUGUCACUUCUUUAUCCACAUAAUGCUUUAUUAAUAUUGUGUAUUGACAAUUCCUAAUCAGAACGCAAAUAUGGUGCUCAGAAAGAAACCUUGCAAAACUCUAUUAUGUCUUUGCAGUUAUAAAUCAAACACAUAAUCUCCUCAAAGAAUGAAAUAUUCUCUUUGGCAGGUCUUAUCUUCCACAAUUACAUUUCUACUCUUGUCCCUCAGCAUUUUUUUACUUUUUUUGUCUAAAACCCCAACUUGCUGUCCUUCAGUUGCUGAGAGGUGCUAACCUUCUAUUUUUGAAUUUGCUGCCAUAGCAGCCCUCUCCUAGGCUUCACAACCUGCUCAGGAAGACAAGGUUUAUCCAACACAUAGCACAGCAAAGUGGACAUCCUGUCUUUCCUUGUCCCCUGCCCUCCCACCUAUGGCCUUUUGUCACCAUCAUAUUUUCCAGAAAAAUCCCUUCGCCAGGAUUUCUGUCCUGGGAAGCUGAGAAGCCUCAGAGAAAAAGAAAACCAAUAUUAUCUCAUUUUCUUCUCCUGUGUUUUGCUGCUUUGGAAUGUGGUUGUUUAUCCAACAGAUGGUUGUUUCAUUGGUUUCAUGUGAAUUGAUUUUACUUGUUGUCCAAUCACAGCCCAGUUGUGUCGAGACUCUGAAGAGAGAGUCACAAGUUUGUCAGCAGUAUCCUUUAGCCUUCUGCAUGUAUCCUUUCUGUAGUCUUUAGUAUAGUUUAGUAUAGUUUUAGAAUAGCAUUAUAUCAUAUCAUAUCACAUCAUAUCAUAUAAUAUAAUAAAAUAAUAAAUUAUUUUAUC